GUUCCAGCAAACUUUCUUAUACUUGUAAAUUGGAGGUUGAAAACCCAAUUAAUUGAGAUGUACGAUAGAUUACGGGUCGGAGUGGUUGCAGGCGGAACAUAUCCAGCAAUUGGAGUGGAUACAACCUGGUUAAGAAACAGGGCUCCAAGCCAACUAGAUGUAAGUUUCAACGGUUUCAAGAAGCUUAUUCAGGUUUAGAUGACCCAAGAUGGUAGUUUGUGGAAAUACAGGUCUCAAGUGUAGAGCUCCCAGGUCUCUAUGUAUAUUGGAACAUCACUCACACAAUCGAUACACUAUCGACGUGUCAGAUGGGUCAUACGAGGGCAGGGCCUCUAUGAUAUACACCGGCGAAAUCUUGGCCCUCUCGUGGUCGAAAAAAUGGGUAUCUUCUGUCAUUAUCGGUUGAUAAAACGGUCCCAUGGUGCGGUAUCAAAAGCAUAACCGUGGCUUUUCCAUCACCGAGACCGACCACUGCCACGACAACGUUCCGAGAAGCACAAUAAACCCGCCUCGAAAACCGUCAUUGUCCCCAAGUCGCAGCUUUUUCUUAGAGUCCAUGCUAAAGAGUCCAACAUUUCCCGCGGAGCGGCUUCUGGAUCCGACUCAAGUUAGCGUUUCGCCUUCGAUGCGCAAGUCAGACUAAUUUCACUUGUGUGGGUUGCAAGACGCCCUCCGGGCUAUGCCAUUGUUGAUUUUGAUGACAGACGAGAUGCUCAGGAUGCCAUCCGCGAACUCGAUGGUAAGAAUGGUUGGAGAGUAGGAAUGUCUCACAACUCUAGAGGAUCAGGUAGUGGCAGCGGUGGCGGAGGGCUUGGUGGAGGUCGUGGUUGCCCUGGUGGUUUUGAUUUGAAAUGCUACCAGUGUGAUGACGUUGGCCACUUUGCUCGUGAGUGUCGUGGCGUCGGCGGUGGUGGCCAAUUUUGGGACGACUACGCAUGGUCUAAGUUCCAUUUAUCAAACCAGAAAGAAACGAGUAAAUCCGUUUUUAGGCUGGCUAAACGGAAACAUAUUGGCGAUGGACGGAUCGGAUCGGAUCGAAUAACAGAGACUCAUCAAGUGAUAGUGAUAUAGAACAAAGCCUUACUGCAUAUUAUGCUUCUACAAUCACACUUGCAAAUUCACCAGAGGAAAGAAAAUGACGUGAAAGUCAUUCAAAGCGUUUUGAAAAGAAUCAUGGCAACCGAGCAGCAUCUACUCUUGCAAAAACCAAAAACGCCUGUAGAAAUUUGUAUACUAGAAGUGCAAAUGCCUAUGUGUUGGCAAAUAGUACCAGUUUCGAUGAAGGUACCGCCAGCAGGGCAGUUGAAGAUAUCGAUUGGGAUUCUCUUACUGUUAAAGGAACGUGCAAACAAAUUGAGAAGCAUUACGCCUCACUUCUGCACCAGAUCCUACUACUGUAAGCCUUUUGCCUACCAGGAAGAGAGGGGGGUGACAUGCAUCUGAGAUUAAUACAUUACUUCUUUUGAAGGUAAGACCAGAGGAAGUAUUGGAAAAAGCUUUGCUUUUUGUUCUUUAUGUUGUGACAGUUACGAGUUGGACGAGCCAUUGACGCCGAAGAAAGAGAGAACAUUGCAUUUGUUCAAUCAGCUUAUGAACUCCAAUAUCUUUCGGUACCCAUCGAAAUUGAACAUGCUUGCUUGUAGGUGUUGUUAUUUGAUAUUCUAUAAUUGUAGUUGAUGUUUGAGUUGAUCAUAAUGCAAGUUAUGGUUAUUUUUUUGGUUUGAUUUUUAUGAUGUUAUUUUGGGGUCC